UGGGGAAUUUUGGACAAUGGGCGCAAGCCUGAUCCAGCCAUGCCGCGUGAGUGAAGAAGGCCUUCGGUUGUAAAGCUCUUUCGGCCGGAACGAAAUCGCAACGUCUGAUAAGCGUUGUGGAUGACGGUACCGGAAUAAGAAGCACCGGCUAACUACGUGCCAGCAGCCGCGGUAAUACGUAGGGUGCGAGCGUUAAUCGGAAUUACUGGGCGUAAAGCGUGCGCAGGCGGUUUGUUAAGCCAGAUGUGAAAACCCCGGGCUCAACCUGGGAACUGCGUUUGGUACUGGCAAGCUAGAGUACGGCAGAGGGGGGUGGAAUUCCACGUGUAGCAGUGAAAUGCGUAGAGAUGUGGAGGAACACCGAUGGCGAAGGCAGCCCCCUGGGCCGAUACUGACGCUCAGGCACGAAAGCGUGGGGAGCAAACAGGAUUAGAUACCCUGGUAGUCCACGCCCUAAACGAUGCGAACUAGUCGUUGGAGUAGCAAUACUUUAG
rnacentral:rRNA from 1 species